CGGCGCCACGGUAGGGGCGAGCAUGGUCGGCCGCCCCGGGUAGCCGAAAAUACGUAUACAAAAAAUACGGUUCAUUCUUUCAGUACAUCGGCCAAUAUGUGGGAAUUUGCACGGGAGGCACAAAAGCCCAGUCCACGGCCUAAAACCAGUUAGCACGGCCACACGACACCCAAUCCUUCGACCGCGUCGUACUCGUACAGGAACACCAGAAAAUCCCCAAUCGAGCGGAGCAGCAGCGAGAGUAACCUAGCCGUCGCCGGCUCGCCGCCACAAAGCUCCGCCUCGCCGGGCCGCCGCCUCGUCGGUCGCCGCCACAAAGCUCCGCCUCGCCGGGCCGCCGCCUCGUCGCCGAAGAGCUCUGCCUCGCCGGGCCACCGGCCGCGGGCACCUAUGGGCGAACGGAAAGAAGCAACGGUGCCGAGCGUGGCCUGUGUGGGAGGAGGCAGCGGCGGCCGUGGAUCGAGAUCGAGCUCAUGCAAACGCGCAUCUGCUGUUUGCAAAAUCAGCAAGCGCAGCCAGCAGGGGAUCUUUAAGAAGAUGAAGCGAAUUGCUGCUUAUUUUGGAACUCCAUCUAAUGAAUUUCAAGCUCCUGUUCAUGUUCCUGAACCUGAUGCGAACAUUUUAUCCACUAAAGCCUCAGAUGCAAACAUUGUAGAAGAUCUAGUUCCUGAACCUGAAGUGUAUAAUGAGGGCUCUCAUGAUAACACUUUGCAAACUUCUAUUCUAGGAUUUAGUUGCUUCGUUUUGUAUUAAAAGGGAGAUACCAGUGCCUAGUAUGGAUGAGAAUAUACCAGCAAGGGGUUACCCAAGGAGUUCCCGCAAAAUGGUUAGUUGCUUCCAUCACUACAAAGUUGAAAUAUUCAAUGAGGUUCUUGACAGAAACAUAGCUGAGAUGAAUCACCGGUUUAGUGAAACUUCAACAAGGUUAUUGAUAUGCAUUGCUAGUCUAGAUCCAAGAGACUCAUUUGGCAGAUUUAAUCAUGAGAACCUACUUGAGCUUGCAUCUAUGUACUCAGUCGAGUUCGAUCCAGAAGAACAAUAUCAUUUGGAUGGUCAACUCAAGAUAUACAUUGAUAUGAUGAAAAGGUCUGAUGUUUUUUGCAGUUGUGGCAGUCUCGCUAAUCUUGCUCUCAAGUUGGUUGAAACUAAGGAACAUUUACACUUUCCUUUGGUUUACCGGCUCAUCACACUUACUUUGACUUUGCCAGUAGCGGCGGCAUCUGUUGAAAGAGUUUUCUCAGCCAUGAAUAUCAUUAAAACAGAUUUGAGAAAUAAGAUAUCUGAUGAUUGGUUGAAUGAUAUGAUGAUAUGCUAUGUAGAGAGAGAUAUAUUUGCUGGAACUGAUGACAAGAAGAUCAUAGAACAUUUUCACAGCUUGAGAGACCGUAGAGGCCAUCUACCCAACCCUCCCCGUAUACUUACGACUUAGGGUAUCUUUUAGUCAUGGAGUUGGACAUUUUGGGCCAUGGAAUGAAUUAUUCAAGCAGCGGGAGUCCAAGUUAGUAGUUAUGUGUGACGUUUAUGUUAUAUUUUGUGAUUUUAGGUGGUUACAACCUAGUUCUCGAGAAUCUUGAAAUGUUCUGAAUCAUUGGUCAUGUAAAUUCUCGAGUGCAUCUAGCUUCAUAUUUGAAUUUUAUGAGAUUUGGUUCAACGGACUUGCAUUCGUCGAUCAAUUUUUUAUACCUUCAAUGUUUCGCCCCGGCUAAGUUCAAUUCCUGGAUCCGCCACUGCUCCACCACAUCUAGCAAACAAGCUCUCUCAAGGCACUAUCUAGCUGACUAGAAUAGACCGAUCAUGGCAGCGCGCGCCAUUGCUGUCCUCUCGCUCUUCCUCGCGCUGGUUGCCAUCGCCAGCGGAGGAGCGUCGGCGCAGCUGGGUCGUCGGGAUUCUACUCCCGCUCGUGCCCGGGCAUGCUCAAAGCCGUGCGCUCGGCGCUGCACCCGGCCAUCGCCAGGGAGCGGCGCGUGGGCGCCUCCAUCGUCCGCCUCUUCUUCCACGACUGCUUCGUCCAGGGCUGCGACGCCUCGCUGCUGCUGGACGACGCGCCGGGCCUGCGCGGCGAGAAGAACGCCACGCCCAACAAGAACUCCGCCAGGGGGUUCGAGGUCAUCGACGCCGUCAAGGCGGCCGUCGAGGGGUGUUGUCCCGGCGUCGUCUCUUGCGCCGACAUCCUGGCCAUCGCGGCCGAGGAGAGCGUCGCUUUCCUGGGUGGGCCGAGCUGGGAGGUGAAGAUGGGGCGGAGGGACUCGACGACGGCGAGCUUCAACGGCGCCGAGAACAACAUCCCUCCCCCGACAUCGGGGCUCGCGAACCUUACGUCCCUCUUCGCGGCGCAGGGGCUCUCCCAGAAAGACAUGGUCGCACUCUCAGCCUCUCUCUGUCUUCCCCGCAGCACCCGCUUCUCUCUCUCACUCUCCCCACGGAUCUGGAUCAGACGGGGCACACCGGCCUCUCCCCUCAACGCCGACCACCAGGAGCCUCCCACUAAUCGGCCACCACGCUCCACCGGCGGAUCGAGGGAGGGGAGGACCACCCCCGCGUGGCUCUGCCCCGAGGUCGUCGUCGCACCACCACGACGGCGGUUGGCUUGGCCGCACCACCACCAGCCCACUCCACCAUGGCGUCCUCUCCAACUGCCCCGCUCCUCCCUGCGCAACCAGAUCCAGCCCCAUCGCCGCCGUGCCCCGCCGUCGUCGACGGGAUGCGGCCGUCGUCUCCUUCGUCUGCCCGAGGUUGGUUGA
rnacentral:rRNA from 1 species